rnacentral:misc_RNA from 1 species
AAAGUCGUAACAAGGUUUCCGUAGGUGAACCUGCGGAAGGAUCAUUAACACGUAUCCACGUAUCAAAACCCCUCUGUGCAACUCUCUUUGUUGAAGGUCUGAUUGGAGUUGUAUGCACUCGAUCUUAAUGAUGGGAGCUUCUCCUUCUCUGAAAGAGAGCUCGGGAUCUAGGAGUGCGUACCGCGCUUGACAAUCGGGCCGAUAUUUUCCCAUCGUUAGGCUUUUUAUCACUUUUAACCCCUUUGUACUUUUUAUGUACUGAACCAAUUCUUCGAGUUUCGGCUUCCGGGCUGAGAUACGAAAGAUAUUACGAAACUAAAGAACAACUCUUAGCAACGGAUAUCUUGGUUCCC